UACGGAGGGAGCUGGCGUUGUUCGGAAUUACUGGGCGUAAAGCGCACGUAGGCGGCUUUGUAAGUUAGAGGUGAAAGCCCGGGGCUCAACCCCGGAAUUGCCUUUAAGACUGCAUCGCUUGAAUCCAGGAGAGGUGAGUGGAAUUCCGAGUGUAGAGGUGAAAUUCGUAGAUAUUCGGAAGAACACCAGUGGCGAAGGCGGCUCACUGGACUGGUAUUGACGCUGAGGUGCGAAAGCGUGGGGGAGCAAACAGG
rnacentral:rRNA from 1 species